UUUUUCUGUCUUCAUAUUUCAUUCUUGUAGGUUUCCCUGGUGAUCAAUUAUGACCUUCCUAACAAUAGGGAGCUUUACAUUCAUCGUAUUGGACGAUCUGGCCGUUUCGGGAGAAAGGGCGUUGCAAUCAACUUUGUUAAAAGUGAUGAUAUCAAAAUCUUACGAGAUAUAGAGCAGUACUACAGUACCCAGAUAGAUGAAAUGCCUAUGAAUGUGGCCGAUCUAAUUUGAGCUUGGACUUCCAUGGCAAUAGAAGAGACGAAGUUUUAAUUUGACAUGCAAAAUGUGCAUGCUACCUGUGAAUUUCAUGUUGCUUAUCUAUCGGUACUGGUUAAUUAUUGUCCUUGGACCUUAUCGAUGAAAAGGAACAAUUGGGUUUGAUAUCUCAUGUUUAGCUUUCAGUGGUUUUGAAUGGAUAACGUUUAUGUAUUAUACGUCAAAUCAUUAUUAGUUAGUCCAUGCAAUGUUCUCGACUUGAUUUGUAGCGUGCCUGUUGAAUUUGCUGGCUUGGAUUG